GUAGGGAAUAUUGGGCAAUGGUCGGAAGACUGACCCAGCCAUGCCGCGUGCAGGAAGACGGCCCUCUGGGUUGUAAACUGCUUUUAUCUGGGAAGAAAAAGGCCAUGCGUGGCAAAUUGCCGGUUCCAGAUGAAUAAGCACCGGCUAACUCCGUGCCAGCAGCCGCGGUAAUACGGAGGGUGCGAGCGUUGUCCGGAUUUAUUGGGUUUAAAGGGUGCGUAGGCGGCUGAUUAAGUCAGCGGUGAAAGACUUCGGCUUAACCGGAGCAGUGCCGUUGAUACUGGUUGGCUUGAGUGUCGGAGGGGUACAUGGAAUUGAUGGUGUAGCGGUGAAAUGCAUAGAUACCAUCAGGAACACCGAUAGCGAAGGCAUUGUACUGGCCGACAACUGACGCUGAUGCACGAAAGUGUGGGGAUCGAACAGGAUUAGAAACCCUGGUAGUCC
rnacentral:rRNA from 1 species